rnacentral:tRNA from 1 species
GCCUGGGUGGCUCAGUCGGUUGAGCAUCCGACUUCGGCUCAGGUCAUGAUCUCACGGUUUGUGAGUUCGAGCCCCACGUCGGGCU